AUGCAUCGCAAUCGAAGAAAUUCAGAAACGCAAAAUAAUAUAGCGAGUGCACCAGACGAUUCUCCGGUUGGUAAGACUUGCAUCCUAUUUUGUUCUUCGUUUUGCACAUCUUAUUUUCCUGGCGUUGAAUCUGUUUUUACGAAACUGAAAACCUCGAUGAUUAGAAAUCGAAACUACGACACUGAGCGAAGGCGAAGUCGAAGAGCAUUGAGCGAGCAUCGAUUGAAUUGA
rnacentral:lncRNA from 1 species